AUGGCCGCCCUCAGACUCCUCAUGAAGCCCAAGAUCGUCAAAAAGAGGAUCAAGGCGUUCAUCCGGCACCAGUCAGACCAAUAUGUCAAAAUUAAGCGUUAACUGGGGGAAACCCAGAGGUAUUGACAACAGGGUUCGCAGAACGUUCAAGGGCCAGAUCUUGAUGCCCAACAGUGGUUACGGGAGCAACAAAAAACAAAGCACAUGCUGCCCAGUGGCUUCCGGAAGUUCCUGGUCCCCAGCGUCAAGGAGCUGGAAGUGCUGAUGUGCAACAAAUCUCCCUGUGCUGAGAUCGCUCACAGUGUUUCCUCCAAGAAACGCAAAACCAACGUGGAAAGGGCCGCCCAGCUGCCGUCAGAGUCACCAACCCCAAUGCCAGGCUGCGCAGUGAAGAAAAUGA
rnacentral:lncRNA from 1 species